AUGAAACGAGUCCAGAUACCAUCGGUGCCUAUUUUAAGAGCUACUUACAAUAAAAUUGGUCCACAAGAUUUUUCAAACCACAUACGUACAAACUAUCCAACAAUAUCUGGUGAGAAGCUCGGGAUACUUCUCCGUGAGCACAAUGCUCGAGGACUGGCAAACAUUUCAGAGAUGAGGCAGUCUUUCCAGUCAUCAAUGUUCACAUUUGCAGACAAGCUCAUCAACUGCAUCGCUGAGAAUUGUUCUUGUUGCAAGGCCAACGGACAUAAACAAUGCAUCCUGAAGAGUGAAAAUCAAAACAAUUGCACCAACUUGGCCAACAUCCCUAUGCAAGAAAAAAUAGACAAUUCGUUUGUUAUCCCUGUUUCUGACAAGGUUUCUCCCCGGAUGGCUGGACAACUCGAAAACGACGGUAGCUCGUCGGCCAAUAGUUCCAUUGCAAGGAAGAGGGGAGUUGUGUUCAGCCCGGCCAUCCAGACGGAAUCAUCAAAGAAGGUGUGUCUUCGGCUUGACGACCCACUCCAAGCAGUUGCCCAUUCAGCAGUAGAUACUGUCAACAACUCAUCUCUGUCUGCGAAGCAAGACACUCGCCAAGAGGUUGCCAGUACGAUUUAUUCAUUCUUUGAUGACCUGACUGCUAGCAUAGUCACGUACUAUGUCGAGUAA
rnacentral:rRNA from 1 species